GCUGAAGAACGCAGCGAAAUGCGAUAAGUAAUGUGAAUUGCAGAAUUCAGUGAAUCAUCGAAUCUUUGAACGCACAUUGCGCCCUCUGGUAUUCCGGGGGGCAUGCCUGUUCGAGCGUCAUUAUAACCACUCAAGCUCUCGCUUGGUAUUGGGGUUCGCGGUUCCGCGGCCCCUAAAAUCAGUGGCGGUGCCUGUCGGCUCUACGCGUAGUAAUACUCCUCGCGAUUGAGUCCGGUAGGUCUACUUGCCAGCAACCCCCAAUUUUUACAGGUUGACCUCGGAUCAGGUAGGGAUACCCGCUGAACUUAAGCAUAUCAAUAAGCGGAGGA
rnacentral:misc_RNA from 1 species